rfam:Oryza sativa Japonica Group DNA, chromosome 8, cultivar: Nipponbare, complete sequence.
GAUAUCAACUGAAAAAGUCAUCAACAACAAAGUUGAAUAACUUAUCAAGAUCUAAAACUUUUAUUUUGGUCAUUUCUUUAUACGACAAAAUGAUAGUAACAUUGUUCACAAAAUUGAUAUAUAUCUUAUCUGGUUUUAUAAACUAUAACACAUAUAUGUAAAAUUUGUGAAUAAUAUUACUAACAUUUCGUCGGAUGAAGAAAUAACAAAAAUAAAAGUUUUAGAUACUGAUGAGUUAUUCAACUUUGUUGUUGAUGACUUUUUCAAUUGAAAUC